CAGCUGAACAGGGUUAAAAAUCAAGUCUCAAAAAUGGCAGCUCAACCAAGGUCAAUAGACAUCAUCCCGACAAAGGAAGUUGCAGAAUCCUCAGGAACCAAAGUUGAUGAAAAGGUGUUGUUUAAACCAAUGGACAGUAAACCCAUUGGUAUUAAAUUAAACAAAAAUGAAGAAAUGUUGGAAGAGCUCUCAAAAAGACUAGCUAAACUGGGAAUAAAAGAAGAUGGAAAGAUGAAAGCAAUUGCUCCAUUAACAAUGGAGUCAGAAGAAGAAAAGUCAAGUACUGAUCACGAGUUAAUUCAACUCGAAAAGAUGUUACAAGAAACUGAACCAGCAGAAAUCAAUAGGAUAAAAUAUCCUAAGGCACGAGCAACAAUGGAUUUAAAACCAUACUAUCCAAGGCCGUCGCCAAUAAAUUUGCAAUUUGAAGAUACCAGUUAUAAUUACAUGCAGUAUGAUGGAACUUCAAUAGUAGAAUGGAAUAUUGAUGGACUAUCAGAUUAUCAAAUCAAGAAUGUCCUUCAAUACAUGACUAUGUACGCUACUGCUAGUAGAGCUAAGGGUAAUGAUGACCCUAAUACCGCGAGAGCCUUAAUAGCAGGGUUUGGUGGCCAACUAAAAGGCUGAUGGGAUUUCACAGUCUCAAAUGAAGGCAAAGAGCUGAUAUUUAAAAUGAUCAAGCAAGAGGGAACUCAACAAGUGCUAGAUGUCGUUAAUACCCUAUUAUAUACGAUAGGGUUACAUUUUAUUGGAUCAGUAAAUAUGCUGACAGAUAGAACGCAGGAGCAGUUAAUAAAUCUGCGAUGCCUGGAUCUAUCUCAUUUCAAAUGUUAUAAAGAUACCUUCUUCUCUUUGGUAUUCAUUAGAGAAGACAUCAAUAAUAGUGUCUGGAAGGAAAAGUUCUUAGCAGGAUUACCAGCACUAUUUGCAGAAAGAGUAAAAGAUCAAAUACGAAGCAAGUAUAAUGGUAAUAUACCGUAUCAUCAAUACACAUACGGAGAAUUGGCUUCUGAAGUGGUGUCCACAGGACUCAUCCUCUGCAAUGAAUUAAAAAUUCAUAAACAAAUGCAGAAAGAACGUAUCCAUGGCAAGCAAAUCCUUGGAAGCUUUUGUGAGCAAUAUGGCUUACCACCUCUUAAAUUUUCGACCACGAAAUUUACAGGGGGUAGGGCAUGUACUGGGGUAGCCUGUUCUACAGUCUUAACUACAUAAUCAGAUCUAAAUUUAAAAGGAUUUUUAUAUAUAAGAUCAGAGGAUACGGGAGGCAGUUUCCAAUUAUGUAAACUAGUAUCUAUAUUGGAUGUUAAUAGUAUUUCUUUAUUUUUAUUUUUGUUUUUUGAGAUCAAAGAACUAGAAGGGCUAGAUCUCCUAGAUCUACCAGAGAUUGAGUCAAAUAACCUUUCCAUCUUAUCCUUAGAUCAUUGUCAACGACUUAUUCCAACACGCCUAACUUCUAGGGUUUUCUGGCAACAGGAAACGCGACUUAGGUUUCACUAAGGUUUAGUCAGGAUUGGGUUCAACACAGAUCUGAAGAGCAAGUGGCCAAUCCUGUGUAUGCAAGGCCUCAAAGCCCAGUUCAGAGGCCUCAAAGCCCAACGCCAUCAGACAUGGGCUACGAUGCUGAAAGCUUAUACUCGAAAUCCUUCAAAAUUAUGCUGCUAGAAACAGAAGAAGAACCAUUUAACAAAUGGUUUAAAAUGGAACUUCCUAUCAAAGAACAAAAGAUGUGGAGUAGGAAGUAUGAGAUAUAUAAAACCCAGAAACAGGGAAGUAAAGACUUUCCUGGGUUUAUUAAACACUGUUUCUCUAUACUAAAAAAACCAUACCCAAACCUUGAGGAACCUUCCUUUUUAACCACCCCUGAAUCCCAUUACAGAACCUUCAUAACUCCUCAAAAGAAAGUCCUUAAAGAAAUGCAUCCACCCUUGACCGACAUAGCCUAUCAACCAACAGAAAACACCAAAGUAGAAUGCAUUCCUUUUUCCCAUGAUCAUACCGAAAACCCCGCAGCAAAACAACAAAAUUAUACCAACCUAAGCCUCCACACAAUUGGUCAACAGCUGAACAGGGUUGAAAACCAAGUCUAAAAAAUGGCAGCUCAACCAAGGUCAAUAGACAUCAUCCCGACAAAGGAAGUUGCAGAAUCCUCAGGAACCAAAGUUGAUGAAAAGGUGUUGUUUAAACCAAUGGACAGUAAACCCAUUGGUAUUAAAUUAAACAAAAAUGAAGAAAUGUUGGAAGAGCUCUCAAAAAGACUAGCUAAACUGGGAAUAAAAGAAGAUGGAAAGAUGAAAGCAAUUGCUCCAUUAACAAUGGAGUCAGAAGAAGAAAAGUCAAGUACUGAUCACGAGUUAAUUCAACUCAAAAAGAUGUUACAAGAAACUGAACCAGCAGAAAUCAAUAGGAUAAAAUAUCCUAAGGCACGAGCAACAAUGGAUUUAAAACCAUACUAUCCAAGGCCGUCGCCAAUAAAUUUGCAAUUUGAAGAUACCAGUUAUAAUUACAUGCAGUAUGAUGGAACUUCAAUAGUAGAAUGGAAUAUUGAUGGACUAUCAGAUUAUCAAAUCAAGAAUGUCCUUCAAUACAUGACUAUGUACGCUACUGCUAGUAGAGCUAAGGGUAAUGAUGACCCUAAUACCGCGAGAGCCUUAAUAGCAGGGUUUGGUGGCCAACUAAAAGGCUGGUGGGAUUUCACAGUCUCAAAUGAAGGCAAAGAGCUGAUAUUUAAAAUGAUCAAGCAAGAGGGAACUCAACAAGUGCUAGAUGUCGUUAAUACCCUAUUAUAUAUGAUAGGGUUACAUUUUAUUGGAUCAGUAAAUAUGCUGACAGAUAGAACGCAGGAGCAGUUAAUAAAUCUGCGAUGCCUGGAUCUAUCUCAUUUCAAAUGUUAUAAAGAUACCUUCUUCUCUUUGGUAUUCAUUAGAGAAGACAGCAAUAAUAGUGUCUGGAAGGAAAAGUUCUUAGCAGGAUUACCAGCACUAUUUGCAGAAAGAGUAAAAGAUCAAAUACGAAGCAAGUAUAACGGUAAUAUACCGUAUCAUCAAUACACAUACGGAGAAUUGGCUUCUGAAGUGGUGUCCACAGGACUCAUCCUCUGCAAUGAAUUAAAAAUUCAUAAACAAAUGCAGAAAGAACGUUUCCAUGGCAAGCAAAUCCUUGGAAGCUUUUGUGAGCAAUAUGGCUUACCACCUCUUAAAUUUCUGAC
rnacentral:lncRNA from 1 species